CGGUUCUCACGCGGCUAACUUCCUUCUACACGCCUUAUUGCACACACUCACCCUACACGGCCUCCUCCGUACACCGCUACUUCCGUAAGCAAUCACAACGCACACCACACCUCCAAAAUUCCCAUACACAUUUUAAAUCUCAAAUUAACACACGUAUUUGAAAUAUGUUACCGUACCUCCCAUUUUCAUCUUUCUUCUUUCGGCCGAUCGCACUAUCACCGUCCGCGGUCUCCUCUUCUCUUCGCUCCGCUUCCUUUCUCUCUCCUUCUGGAACCUUCCUUCUUCUCCUCUUUCUCUUUCCCGCUCCCCUUCUUCCUCUGUUCUUUCUCCUUUUU
rnacentral:lncRNA from 1 species